rnacentral:rRNA from 1 species
AGAGUUUGAUCCUGGCUCAGAUUGAACGCUGGCGGCAUGCCUUACACAUGCAAGUCGAACGGUAACAGGUCUUCGGAUGCUGACGAGUGGCGAACGGGUGAGUAAUACAUCGGAACGUGCCCGAUCGUGGGGGAUAACGAGGCGAAAGCUUUGCUAAUACCGCAUACGAUCUACGGAUGAAAGCGGGGGAUCUUCGGACCUCGCGCGGACGGAGCGGCCGAUGGCAGAUUAGGUAGUUGGUGGGAUAAAAGCUUACCAAGGCGACGAUCAGUAGCGGGUCUGAGAGGAUGAUCCGCCACACUGGGACUGAGACACGGCCCAGACUCCUACGGGAGGCAGCAGUGGGGAAUUUUGGACAAUGGGCGCAAGCCUGAUCCAGCCAUGCCGCGUGUCUGAAGAAGGCCUU